rnacentral:rRNA from 1 species
AGUUCCGACCUGCACGAAUGGCGUAAUGAUGGCCAGGCUGUCUCCACCCGAGACUCAGUGAAAUUGAACUCGCUGUGAAGAUGCAGUGUACCCGCGGCAAGACGGAAAGACCCCGUGAACCUUUACUAUAGCUUGACACUGAACAUUGAGCCUUGAUGUGUAGGAUAGGUGGGAGGCUUUGAAGCGUGGACGCCAGUCUGCGUGGAGCCAACCUUGAAAUACCACCCUUUAAUGUUUGAUGUUCUAACGUGGACCCGUAAUCCGGGUUGCGGACAGUGUCUGGUGGGUAGUUUGACUGGGGCGGUCUCCUCCUAAAGAGUAACGGAGGAGCACGAAGGUUGGCUAAUCCUGGUCGGACAUCAGGAGGUUAGUGCAAUGGCAUAAGCCAGCUUGACUGCGAGCGUGACGGCGCGAGCAGGUGCGAAAGCAGGUCAUAGUGAUCCGGUGGUUCUGAAUGGAAGGGCCAUCGCUCAACGGAUAAAAGGUACUCCGGGGAUAACAGGCUGAUACCGCCCAAGAGUUCAUAUCGACGGCGGUGUUUGGCACCUCGAUGUCGGCUCAUCACAUCCUGGGGCUGAAGUAGGUCCCAAGGGUAUGGCUGUUCGCCAUUUAAAGUGGUACGCGAGCUGGGUUUAGAACGUCGUGAGACAGUUCGGUCCCUAUCUGCCGUGGGCGCUGGAGAACUGAGGGGGGCUGCUCCUAGUACGAGAGGACCGGAGUGGACGCAUCACUGGUGUUCGGGUUGUCAUGCCAAUGGCACUGCCCGGUAGCUAAAUGCGGAAGAGAUAAGUGCUGAAAGCAUCUAAGCACGAAACUUGCCCCGA